rnacentral:pre_miRNA from 1 species
CUGUGUUAGCUCUUGGCACUGGGAGAAUUCACAGUUGUUUUUAAUUCGAUUCUGUGGUUCUUUGGGUGUCAAAUGUUAAUGCAG